GACGAACGCUGGCGGCGUGCUUAACACAUGCAAGUCGAACGAAGUGGCGAACGGGUGUGUAAUACGUGGGUACCCUGCCCUCCUUUUUGGGCUAAGCCUUGGAAACGGGGUCUAAUACCGAAUAAAGUGGCAUGGGCUGUCGGCCUUUCAGCUUGUGGGUGGGGUGAUGGCCUACCAAGGCGGUGACGGGUCGCCGGCCUGAGAGGGGGACCGGCCACAUUGGGAUUGGGAUACGGCCCAGAUUCCUACGGGGGGAAGCAGUGGGGGAUAUUGCAAAAUGGGCGAAAGCCUGAUGCAGCGAGGCCGCGGGGGGGAGGAAGGCUUUCGGGUUGUAAACCGCUUUCGCAAUGGAACGGGUAGGUGGAGAAGAAGCGCCGGCUAACUACGUGCCAGCAGCCGCGGUAAUAC
rnacentral:rRNA from 1 species